rnacentral:rRNA from 1 species
AGUUACAAGAAGGCAGUUUCGACGCUCCAGUCUUCUCUGAUCUUGGGAGCUAAGUAGGUCCAGACCUGGAGUACCUGGAUGGGAGACACCUGGGAACACCAAGCACUUAUGGCUA